rnacentral:rRNA from 1 species
UGGGGAAUAUUGCACAAUGGGCGAAAGCCUGAUGCAGCAACGCCGCGUGAGUGAUGAAGGCCUUCGGGUUGUAAAGCUCUGUCUUUUGGGACGAUAAUGACGGUACCAAAGGAGGAAGCCACGGCUAACUACGUGCCAGCAGCCGCGGUAAUACGUAGGUGGCAAGCGUUGUCCGGAUUUACUGGGCGUAAAGGAUGCGUAGGCGGAUUUUUAAGUGAGAUGUGAAAUACCCGGGCUUAACUUGGGUGCUGCAUUUCAAACUGGGAAUCUAGAGUGCGGGAGAGGAGAAUGGAAUUCCUAGUGUAGCGGUGAAAUGCGUAGAGAUUAGGAAGAACACCAGUGGCGAAGGCGAUUCUCUGGACCGUAACUGACGCUGAGGCAUGAAAGCGUGGGUAGCAAACAGGAUUAGAUACCCUAGUAGUCCACGCCGUAAACGAUGAGUACUAGGUGUAGGAGGUAUCGACCCCUUCUGUGCCGCAGUUAACACAAUAAGUACUCCGCCUGGGAAGUACGAUCGCAAGAUUAAAACUUAAAUGAAUUGACGGGGUCAUAGC